rnacentral:lncRNA from 1 species
AGGGAAACCAAUCUUGAAUCUUCAUUCCUAAACUGAAGGAUCGGAGCAGUGUCCAUCAUCUGUCCUGAAACUUUUGGCAUUUAUCGUGACCCGUGACGUGAUUGAGCCACCUCAAAGGAUUACCAGACAAAGGCAUCAGAAGAUCCAUUGUUGAGCAAGUGACGUACUGCAAAAUUUUCUCCAAAUCUGUUCAGAUCGAGAAGCUGACUCAUCUACAUCUUGGAUGGUCUGAGGAAUAGAUUGGAUCGAAAAUUAAAAGCUUGAUGAUGUCAGCAGCAAGGAAAUGUGUUUCAGAGGUGGAGACACUUCAUAUUCCAUGAACAAACACGUCCGUCCCAAAUGGCUUGGCAGCAUGAGAAUGAAAGCACAGACUGUACGUCUGAAUCCAGACCCAUGCCAGCAGCUGGGAGUUACACCCAUUCAUAUGGCCUCUGGAGAUAAACUCAAUGGGGUUAAAUUAAUCUCAUUGGGCGACUGCAGCCUAAAGGGCUCAAGAUAA